CAACCUGCCGUCUACUCUUGGACAGCCUUCUGAAAGGAAGAUUAAUACAAGAUGGCAUCAUGAGUCCGCAUGUUCACAUGGUUAAAGGUAUUCCGGUAGACGAUGGGGAUGCGUUCCAUUAGAUAGUAGGCGGGGUAACGGCCCACCUAGUCUUCGAUGGAUAGGGGUUCUGAGAGGAAGGUCCCCCACAUUGGAACUGAGACACGGUCCAAACUCCUACGGGAGGCAGCAGUGAGGAAUAUUGGUCAAUGGGCGAGAGCCUGAACCAGCCAAGUAGCGUGAAGGAUGACUGCCCUAUGGGUUGUAAACUUCUUUUAUAAAGGAAUAAAGUCGGGUAUGUAUACCCGUUUGCAUGUACUUUAUGAAUAAGGAUCGGCUAACUCCGUGCCAGCAGCCGCGGUAAUACGGAGGAUCCGAGCGUUAUCCGGAUUUAUUGGGUUUAAAGGGAGCGUAGAUGGAUGUUUAAGUCAGUUGUGAAAGUUUGCGGCUCAACCGUAAAAUUGCAGUUGAUACUGGAUAUCUUGAGUGCAGUUGAGGCAGGCGGAAUUCGUGGUGUAGCGGUGAAAUGCUUAGAUAUCACGAAGAACUCCGAUUG
rnacentral:rRNA from 1 species